GGAGGAUUAGCUCGGCUGGGAGAGCACCUGCCUUACAAGCGGGGGGUCGGCGGUUCGAUCCCGUCAUCCUCCACCA
rnacentral:tRNA from 1 species